CACUCCUGCGGGAGGCAGCAGUGGGGAAUUUUGGACAAUGGGCGAAAGCCUGAUCCAGCAAUGCCGCGUGAGUGAAGAAGGCCUUCGGGUUGUAAAGCUCUUUUGUCAGGGAAGAAACGGUGAAAGCUAAUAUCUUUUGCUAAUGACGGUACCUGAAGAAUAAGCACCGGCUAACUACGUGCCAGCAGCCGCGGUAAUACGUAGGGUGCAAGCGCUAAUCGGAAUUACUGGGCGUAAAGCGUGCGCAGGCGGUUUUGUAAGUCUGAUGUGAAAUCCCCGGGCUCAACCUGGGAAUUGCAUUGGAGACUGCAAGGCUAGAAUCUGGCAGAGGGGGGUAGAAUUCCACGUGUAGCAGUGAAAUGCGUAGAUAUGUGGAGGAACACCGAUGGCGAAGGCAGCCCCCUGGGUCAAGAUUGACGCUCAUGCACGAAAGCGUGGGGAGCAAACAGGAUUAGAUACCCGAGUAGUCCCAUGAU
rnacentral:rRNA from 1 species